rnacentral:rRNA from 1 species
UGGGGGAUAACGUUCGGAAACGGACGCUAAUACCGCAUACGUCCUACGGGAGAAAGCAGGGGACCUUCGGGCCUUGCGCUAUCAGAUGAGCCUAGGUCGGAUUAGCUAGUUGGUGAGGUAAUGGCUCACCAAGGCNACGAUCCGUAACUGGUCUGAGAGGAUGAUCAGUCACACUGGAACUGAGACACGGUCCAGACUCCUACGGGAGGCAGCAGUGGGGAAUAUUGGACAAUGGGCGAAAGCCUGAUCCAGCCAUGCCGCGUGUGUGAAGAAGGUCUUCGGAUUGUAAAGCACUUUAAGUUGGGAGGAAGGGCAUUAACCUAAUACGUUAGUGUUUUGACGUUACCGACAGAAUAAGCACCGGCUAACUCUGUGCCAGCAGCCGCGGUAAUACAGAGGGUGCAAGCGUUAAUCGGAAUUACUGGGCGUAAAGCGCGCGUAGGUGGUUUGUUAAGUUGGAUGUGAAAUCCCCGGGCUCAACCUGGGAACUGCAUUCAAAACUGACUGACUAGAGUAUGGUAGAGGGUGGUGGAAUUUCCUGUGUAGCGGUGAAAUGCGUA